rnacentral:rRNA from 1 species
GAUAUAGUGGCAGACGGGUGAGUAACGCGUGGGAACAUGCCUUUCACUAAGGAAUAGCUUUUGGAAACGAAAGGUAAUACCUUAUACGCCCUUAGGGGGAAAGAUUUAUCGGUGAAAGAUUGGCCCGCGUUAGAUUAGCUAGCUGGUAAGGUAAGAGCUUACCAAGGCUACGAUCUAUAGCUGGUCUGAGAGGACGACCAGCCACACUGGGACUGAGACACGGCCCAGACUCCUACGGGAGGCAGCAGUGGGGAAUAUUGCACAAUGGGCGAAAGCCUGAUGCAGCCAUGCCGCGUGAAUGAUGAAGGCCUUAGGGUUGUAAAAUUCUUUCGCUAGGGAUGAUAAUGACAGUACCUAGUAAAGAAGCCCCGGCUAACUUCGUGCCAGCAGCCGCGGUAAUACGAAGGGGGCUAGCGUUGUUCGGAAUUACUGGGCGUAAAGCGCACGUAGGCGGAUUAUUAAGUCAGAUGUGAAAUCCCAAGGCUCAACCUUGGAACUGCAUUUGAAACUGGUAAUCUAGAGAUCAGGAGAGGUUAGUGGAAUACCGAGUGUAGAGGUGAAAUUCGUAGAUAUUCGGUGGAACACCAGUGGCGAAGGCGACUAACUGGACUGAUACUGACGCUGAGGUGCGAAAGUGUGGGGAGCAAACAGGAUUAGAUACCCUGGUAGUCCACACCGUAAACGAUGAGAGCUAGUUGUCUGCAGGCAUGCCUGUAGGUGACGCAGCUAACGCAUUAAGCUCUCCGCCUGGGGAGUACGGCCGCAAGGUUAAAACUCAAAGAAAUUGACGGGGGCCCGCCCAAGCGGUGGAGCAUGU